rnacentral:lncRNA from 1 species
AUACAAUCUACCGAACCGUCUCUUAGAUUUUUGAUAUAUGCCUCCAGUAAGAAGAUAUAUUGAUUUUACUGCUGGGUGCUAAACCUCAAUUCACCUUUCAUCUUUGGAGACCUAUAAACUCAUUUAGAAACAAAUUAUCCAAAAACUGGGACACGGUAUUGUAGAAAAUACACCCUUUAAACAUAUAUAUCAAAGUCAAGCCAAAGGGAGUACCCAUUAAGUUUCUGUUUUCAUUUUUUCCUUACAAUUCUCAUGAAAAAUUGUUCUGAGAAAUGACCUAAAAACUGAAUUUACCCCUUAGAACCCCUAUAAAGUCAAUAUAAAUACAAAAGUUCAACUGGGAACACCCCAGGAGUGUUCUGAUACCAUUACUAUAUCAAUAGAACCACACACUUUGUGUCUUUGAUGCUCUAAUGCUUUAAAUUUUGCAUUAUAUGUGAACUGUCCAACACUAACUUGGCAAUUGGCGGGAGUUUGACGACACAGAUUUGACCAACAUCUGUGAUGUAGUAAUUGAAUAUAGUCAAAGCUCCGCCUCUUUCCAGACAGUUUAUAAUAAGAGAAUAACAUGAUUGACCAGCUG